rnacentral:rRNA from 1 species
ACGUAGGGUGCGAGCGUUAAUCGGAAUUACUGGGCGUAAAGCGUGCGCAGGCGGCGGCACAAGUCAGGUGUGAAAUCCCCGGGCUUAACCUGGGAAUUGCGCUUGAAACUAGGUCGCUAGAGUGUGGCAGAGGGGGGUGGAAUUCCACGUGUAGCAGUGAAAUGCGUAGAGAUGUGGAGGAACACCGAUGGCGAAGGCAGCCCCCUGGGUCAACACUGACGCUCAGGCACGAAAGCGUGGGGAGCAAACAGGAUUAGAUACCCUGGUAGUCCACGCCCUAAACGAUGCGAACUAGGUGUUGGGGAAGGAGACUUCCUUAGUACCGCAGCUAACGCGUGAAGUUCGCCGCCUGGGGAGUACGGUCGCAAGAUUA